UACGGGGGGGGCAAGCGUUGUUCGGAAUUACUGGGCGUAAAGGGCUCGUAGGCGGCCAACUAAGUCGGAUGUGAAAUCCCCAGGCUUAACCUGGGAAUUGCAUCCGAUACUGGAUGGCUUGAAUCCGGGAGAGGGAUGCGGAAUUCCAGGUGUAGCGGUGAAAUUCGUAGAUAUUAGGAAGAACACCAGUGGCGAAGGCGGCUCACUGGCCCGGUACUGACGCUGAGGCGCGAAAGCGUGGGGAGCAAACAGG
rnacentral:rRNA from 1 species